GUGUCAGCAGCCGCGGUAAUACGUAGGCAGCGAGCGUUGUUCGGAGUUACUGGGCGUAAAGGGUGUGUAGGCGGUUUUCUAAGUUUGGUGUGAAAUCUCCCGGCUCAACCGGGAGGGUGCGCCGAAAACUGGGAGACUAGAGUGCGGGAUGGGAGAGUAGAAUUCCUGGUGUAGCGGUGAAAUGCGUAGAUAUCAGGAGGAAUACCGGUGGUGUAGACGGCUCUCUGGACCGCCACUGACGCUGAGACACGAAAGCGUGGGUAGCAAACAGGAUUAGAUACCCUGGUAGUCC
rnacentral:rRNA from 1 species